ACUACUUCCUAUGAUACGUGUGACAUCCCUUUCAUUUUUUCUUUUUCUCUCUCUCUUCUCUUUCAAUUUGUCUGUCUUCUUCUUCUCCCUCAACCUUCUCCUCUUUGUCUCUUUCUUCUUCUUUCUCUCUCCGAGUCUUCUUUCUCUCUCAGACCGAGCGACAUAUUCUACUUCCUGCUUUCUUCCUCUUCAUUUUCCCUUUUCUUCAUCAUCUUCUUCAUUUCCCAAAACGAAACCGACACGGUUAUCAGUUUUUUUGGAUUUCUGUUUAAAGUUACUGUUAAGAUAUUGUGGUUAGUGUUUUUGUGGUUUAUAUGAUGAUUUUGUGGUUAGGGUUUUUGUGAUUGUGGUUGAUGUCAUGAUUUUGUGGUUAGGGUUUUGAUGCUGUUAUUGGCCAAAUGGAGGUUACCGGCGAUUAGUGUGGUGGUGGUGGUGGAAACGGGUUUCUGCCGACGAGUGUGGUGGUGGCCGUAAUCAGAAAGAGAUGAAUGGUUGAAGCAACUGUUGCAGAAUAAUCCAUUGUACAUACAGAACUUCGUCCAUUGCUCGCUUGAUAUGGUUGAUGACUGAGAUGCAAGGUAUGCAGCAUUCUGCAUGUGGAUCAACAUGCCAACAACUGCUUUUGUCUUGGCCAAUUCCAAAAAUUCAGGAAGGGUCAUAAAUUCACAAGAUACUUUAAUAUUGCAUUAACCCCAAACAAAGUUAAUAGCUCCAAAAUUUUACACUGUUAUCUCUGGAAAAUGAGCUGUUUCUCUAGCCAGGGCACGCCAGUGAAUAUCCAUGCUGAAGAAACCCCUGAAGGUAAGCUGAAACCAGACACUCCUGAUAUGGAAAGACAGAGCCAAUUUCUUGUGGAAAUUGUUGGUUUGUUUGGUUUUUUGUUUGAUACAGUGAUGUUCCUUCAAAUGUUUUUGAGUUUCCCAUGUAGCUAGAAGCUACCGUCAUGAUCCACGAUGCGCCAUUCCCGACUGUUGAUUCAAAAGGGCCUCAGUUUCCUACUGAGCAAGAAACAAAAACACCGUUUUUCGUUGCUCCGGAUGAAGCUAUAGCAAUACUACCAUUAUAAAAUGGUUUUGGAAUACUUCCUAAAGAGAGUGAAAGUACAUCAACACCGUCGGAAACUUAAAAAUCUUAUGAAUAUUAUGUUAGUGCAGUGAGAUGUGGAAGGAUUCAAGUUGAUGGUGAAAUGGUGCCGGUUUCGUAUGUGGUUAAAUCAAAGAUAAGCCAUUUUUUACACAGGUAACUAAAUUAUGUGAUUUAGGGGUUGAUGACUAUGUUUGUUAUGUUGGCUGGGCCUAACGUGGUAGCACGGGUACCAUAAAUACUGAUUUCACUGUCAUUGUAGUUAUUGGAUCACCUGGUGUUGGAAAAUCUACUAUCAUGAAUCAACUUUAUGGUUUUGAAGGAGAGAUGUUUUAUGGAGGAGAGAUGUUUUGAAGUACACUAAACUGCAGAGCAAAGAUUACUUUUAUGGAGGAGAGAUGUUUUGGAGACAGAGCAAACAAAUCGCAUCAUGUAACAUAUGCUUACAAUUUUAGGGACCAGUUUGUCCAUCACCCAACUUUUAGGAAUGGAAGAAGAAAAAUUCUGUAGCCACUACAAACUUAUCCAAACUGAAUUGUCAGAUAAGCUCAAAGGAGGCACAGAUUGAGCAGAUGAUUGGGCAAAAGCAGGAUAUAAAAGAGAAGUGUAAACUAUAGCAGAUUAGUCUUCCAACCAUAUCAGAUCCUAUGGAUACUGAUAGCUCAACACCGGGUCCAGUUUAUGACUUUGAAUAGAGUAAAUAAGUGAAAGGAAACAUGUUUCUUUCAAAUUUGUGCCUGCCUCUCAUAAUUUUGUUAUGCCUAUGUGGUUCUGUUAGAGAUGAUGCUAUUGAUAAUAGCAAUAGAAAAAACAGAAACUGAAUUUCUAAACACGUGUUAUAGAAAAACUCAUAACACUGAUAUCUUUCUAUGGAUUUGCAAAUGAAGUAAUGCUUUCCAUUAUAUAUUUGCAGGGCAGUUGUGAGCCAAGUUAUAACAGGAUACCUUCCCAUUCAGAUUCUUCAGGUGUUUCUAUCCUUUGUGCCAACUCUUAUGAUUAUGCUUUCAUCUUUGCAAGGAUACAUUUCAUGGAUUCAGAUUCAAAAAAGUGCAUGCACUAAAGUAUUAUGGUUUACCAUCUGGAACAUUUUCUUUGCAAAUGUUCUAUCAGGGUUCUUUCCUAUAUUCCAGGCUUGUCCCGUUGAAGUGUGAAGUACGAGCUACCAAAGUAUUUCAAGUUGUUGAACUAGCUGUGUAAUCUACUGUCUGAAUUUGUUUUCUGUAGCUUGUGACAUAAAAUAUGUUUAGUAUAUCAUCUAUUGUGUUGGCUGAUUUCUGUUAUGAGUUCCAAACCAUCAUUAUGAGUAACUUAUUUUGACAGGAACCACUUGUGCUACAGUUCUUGCCAAUAAAAAUAUGGAAAGAAAACACUAUCUGGAUUAAUAAAAUAUGGGAUUAGUGGAGUUUCACACUAUUUUUCGAUUGAUUUCCACAAUGGAAUUCAGACUGCAAGUUCGCUUAUGUUCAUUAGUCGUAGCAUUUGCCUUCUUUUAUAUGUCUGCCCCAUCAUUAUACACAAUAACAUUGACGGACUUCAUGCAUACCAGAGGCUUGAAAAUGUCUUCAUGAUGAUUCUGCUUAUGCUUCCUUAAGCCUUGAUUUUGUCUGUUCCCAACAUUGUCUUGAAAUUGGAGGUUUGUGUAGAGGGUUUCUGUUUUUGCACAGUGACACUGACUUCUACCUUGGGAAUCCAUCCACCGGUGCCCACAAACAAAUACCCACCUCUCCCAUAACUCUUUUUACACAUAAUGAUGGUUUGGAACUUCUGUCUGAUUUUGCAUAUGAUCACUCUACUGAUGAUUACUUGAUAGUUUUUGUGUUCUGCGAAAAUGUUCCGACAAUUAAAUUGAUGAUUUUUUCACUGAGAGCUAAUAAGUGGAAACCAAUUGAGGUUGCUUCUCAUUUGCCUUAUAGGAUGACUCAUGUAUGGUACUGUUUCCCUAAAUGUGGGUUGUUCUUGAAUGGUUCUAUUCAUUGGAUGGUUCAGAAUUAUGAGACCUCAAAGAUUGUUAGAGCCUUUGAUUUAAAGGAAAUGGCAAUGUUGGAGAUAGCUCUACCAGAUGAUUUUAUUAGUAUUGGUAAUAAUGAGUCUAUAUACUAUGAUUUGUUGGAAGUUGGAGGACAUAUCACUGCAUGGAUGAAGGACCUGAAUACAGUGAAGAUAUAUGUGAUAUAAGAAUAUGGAGUGCACUUAUCUUGCACCAAGAUUAUUCAAUUUUCUGUUGAUCCUAUUUUGCACAAAGAUUUAUACAUAGCAUGCUUAACAAAGUGUGGUGAUAUAGUAGGAAGAAAUGGUGAAAGUGGAUUGGUGAAGUUUAAUGACAAAGGAAAGCUGCUAGACCAACACUUCUGUCAUAUGAACUACGAAAGAUCCGAUUCGGUGGUGUAUACAGAGUCUCGCUUUCACUCCCUGACACCCGUCAAACUUAUGAAGAUGACUAUUAAUCACAAACAUGAACAAUGUAAUUGUGAAAUAUUAGCAUUUACCAUUUUCUUUAUAUUUAUCUUAUAUCAUGGAGCUCUAGGCAUCAUGAAG